CCUCUUCCCAUCCCGAACAGAGAAGUUAAGCCCGGCUGCGCCGAUGGUACUGGGGUCACACCCGGGAGAGUAGGUGGCCGCCAACC
rnacentral:rRNA from 1 species